GUCGUGUUUAGGUACUGGAAUGUGUGCAACUACGAUUUCGCCAAGAAAAAAUCAAAAGAUGGCAUAGCAGACCACUUUACUCAACUUGUAUGGAAAGGAAGCACAAAGGUUGGCUUUGGUGUGGCAACUGCAAUACAGAAACAGAAACCUUGUGUGUUUGUUGUGGCCAGAUAUUUCUUGCCAGGGAAUGUUGCCGGACAAAAUAAGUUUAACGUU